rnacentral:rRNA from 1 species
AUGCUCGCUCUUUUGCUAUGCCUAUGCUGCGAUACCUACCACUUGCUUAUCAUGCCUCCCAUAUUGUUAAGCCAAGCCUCUAACCACCUUGUCCUAGCAAACCGUUGUUUGGCUAUGUUACCGCUUUGCUCAGCCCCUCUUAUAGCGUUGUUAGUUGUAGGUGAAGAUUGGAGUUUGUUCCAGGUUUGGAACAUGGAUAUUUUAUUGGGAUAUCACAAUAUCUCUUAUUUAAUUAAUGCAUCUAUAUACUUGGUAAAGGGUGGAAGGCUCGACCUUAUGCCUGGUGUUUUGUUCCACUCUUGCCACCCUAGUUUCCGUCAUAUCGGUGUUAUGUUCCCGGAUUUUGCGUUCCUUACGCGGUUGGGUUAUAAUGGGAACCCCUUAACAGUUCGCUUUGAAUAA